GUUCAAAUGAGGAAGGUCUUACGAUGGAUACCUAGGCACCUAAAGAUGAGGAAGGGCAUGGUAAACGACGAAAUGCUUCAAGGAGUUGAAAAUGAGCAUAAAUACAGAGAUUCUCAAAUAGGUUAACCUUUUUAACUCUUGCUUAAUCCAUGGGAAGACAAGAGACAACCUGGUGAACUGAAAAAUCUUAGCAACCAGAGGAAUAGGAAUCAAAAGCGAUUCCCGUAGUAGCGGCGAGCAAAAUGGGAGCAGCCUAAACCCUGAAAACGGGGUUGUGGGAGAGAAAAAUACAAUAUCUGUGCUGCUAGGCGAAGUUGUCGAGUCCUGCACCCUAGAUGGUGAGAGUCCAGUAGCCAAAAUCAUCAUUGCCUUACGCUCUAACCUGAGUAUCAUGGGGCAUGUGGAAUCCCAUGUGAAUUAACAAGCACCACCUUUCAAGGCUAAACACUCCUAGGUGACCGAUAGUGAAGUAGUACUGUGAGGAAAAGGUGAAAAGAACCCCCAUCGGGGAGUGAAAUAGAACAUGAAACCGUAAUCUCCCAAGCAGUGGGAGGAAAAUGAUAUCUCUGACUAUGUGCAUGUUGAAGAAUGAGUCGGUGACUUAUAGGUAGUGGCUUGGUUAAGGGAACCCACCAAAGUCUUAGUGAGAGCGAGUCUUCAUGGGGAAAUUGUCACUGCUUAUGGACCCGAACUUGGGUGAUCUAUCCAUGACCAGGAUGAAGCUUGGGUGAAACUAAGUGGAGGUAUGAACCGACUAAUGUUGAAAAAUCAAUGGAUGAGUCGUGGUUAGGCGUGAAAUGCCACUUGAACCUAGACCUAGAUGGUUCUCCCCGAAAUGCGUUGAGGCGCAGUAGUUGACUGGACCAUCUAGGGGUAAAGCAUUGUUUCAGUAUGGGCCACAAGAGCGGUACCAAAUUGAGGCAAACUCUGAAUGCUAGAUUGUCCCAAUAAAAGGGGUAAAGGUCAGCUAGUGAUAUGAUUUACCCAAGGAGCCGAAUGAACAUGAAAUUCUCAUGUUCUAAUUGUUCCAAAUUAUUAGAAGCAGUAUUGAUGAGAUCCUCUUUCUCUCGUUCUAUUUGGGAGUCUCCAUUUACCCGGAUUUCGCCCGCUAUAAUUUCCACUUCCCUUAAGCAAGACUGAGCUUUCUCAAGUUGAUCGAUAGCUCCUUUACAUAGUUCUUCCGAAUUCUGAAUAGUAUUCAAUAUUAUUUUUUACAGUUAUCUAAUAGAUUACUUAAUGAAAGUAGAUUAUCUAUUCAAAAAAUGAACAAAUUCAUAAUCUCUUCCCAAACUGAACACGAACCUUUUGAUUCAUUUGGAUCUCCUUCUCAGUUCUUUGUUUAUUCCCCAGGAACAUAUGCAUUCCCUUCCUUCAUCAACACCAAUCUUUCCCUUUCCAUUCUAUUUACGGAAGAUUAGAAUCAAUCUAUAAAAGACUGAUAUCUUCGAAGGGCUCUUUUAGCAAAAGGGAUUUGCAAUUAUUAAUAAAGUUUGUGUUUUUCUUGUCGUUUCCCAUUUUCUCUCAUCUUCUUCCCCCAUGAAAUUUGAAUCAAUGUGUUUGGUUCAAUCAAUUGAUUUGUGCCUUCUCCUUUUUGUUCUAUCGAAUAAUUUCCCUUCUAUGUAGAUCGUCAGUUUAGCAUUGGAACUAAAAUUGGAUGGGAGAUUAGGACUAUUUUUAAGAAAAUAUAUCAAAUUAUUCCAUUAAUAUGAAUGUUAUAUAUCAUAUCAAUCUCCAACUAUGCCUUUUAAUCCAUCUCAUCUUGACACGACGGAGGAAAGAGUACCCAGUUAGUUGUGCUUAGACUUCAAACAGUUCAACUUUAACCAUUCUAAUGGUCCUCCCUCAUUGGUUGGUAUAAACUAAGAGUUCAUUUCCCAAUCAAUUACGAAAUGCUA
rfam:Picea glauca, whole genome shotgun sequence.